ensembl:snRNA U6 U6 spliceosomal RNA
GUGCUUGCUUCAGCAGCGCAUAUACUAAAUUUGGAACAGUACAAAGAAUAUUUGCACGGCUCCUGGACAAGGAUGACAUGCAAAGUCUUGAAGCAUUCCAUGUUUUU